GUAGUGAUGAUGAAUUUGAGAUUUGGGAGAGGGAGAGGAUUGAGAAGAAGAAGAAGAAAAGAGUGAUUUGAGAGUUCAUGGGUCUUGAAAGAUUUUAGUGACUUUCGUUAUCUUCCUUGUUGUUGUUCUUCUUCUCUAAUAAGUUCUUCAAUGGAGUUUUGUCGUCUCUAU